GGCUGGCAGGAUGCCACAUGGUCAGUAUCAGUUCUGUGCACGACUCUCAUGACUGGACCACUGUGUGGCCAACAGGCUGAAGUCGGGAACCAUCUGUGUCCUGUGGGAGAGUCUCUUCCAGGUUGUUCAAUUGGUGCUGUCCAUAUUUGCAUGGGUGUGGGGCCACCUGUUGAAGAAGUAUGGGAAACCUACAAAUGAGGACACCCUCAAGAAGACGAAGACGAAGACGAAGACGAAGACGAAGACGAAGAAGAAGAAGAAGAAGAAGAAGAAGAAGAAGAAGAAGAAGAAGAAGAAAUCACAAGAAUGAUUCUCCUUCUUUAGCAGCUAUCAAGUUACAAUAGCUCUUCAUUAGAGACUGGGGCCUGGAAAGCACUCCCCACCUAUGCCAGAAUUUUGGCUGCCUGGUCUUGUACAGGUAACCACAGGUACUGCGAGGUCAUGCAUGCCUGCAUUAUGUCCGGGAGACAGCAUUUCACAGAACUCCUCCAUUAUGGGGCAAAUGGUCCUGGAGCUGUCUCUCCUGAUUUCCCUCAACCAGGCUUCUCCAUCUGCACAUUGGAACCAUGAUUGCACUCUCCUGUUCAGGCUGCAUGCUGGACCAGCCCAUUCUGAAGUUUUUUUGGUAGGCAUAUUAUUAAAACUCAGGAAAGCCCUUCACAUUACACCGACUAGCUUAUUAAGAAGAUCACAUGGCUAGAGAUGAGCAGACAGGUGAAGAGGUGCCAGCUGUGAUGUACAGAAAAGUCCCAACUGAAAGAAUCUGUCCCGUGGCACUGGCGCUUGCCACCUGCCCAGCACUUGAAUUCAUUCACCAACCCCAAAGCUCUCUAACUGGCAUGUAAGAAUUUCUGUAGACCUUAACUCUCAACACAAGUUUCUCUUCCUGAAGCCUGGGGUUGAACGAAUGUCCUCACUCUUUAGUCUUUAGGUCUUCUUGGUGACCUCCUGCCACCCCCCAGCAAGAGGCCCCACUCUAAGUCAUAUUGUUAGUGUGACUUCAUGUGUGAACAUCAGGGGAUGCUUCUGAACAUGAGAAGAUGCUGCAACUAUUCAAGAAGUCCCAAGGGUUCAGAGAACAGUAUACCAGGAACCAGAGACAAUAUUUCCCAUCAUGCCUCAGGGACAAAUGGAAAUCAUGUGUCAAUGUUAUGGGUUGAAUACAAGAUGCCAUUCAUAUCUCAUGUGUCUGGACACUUGCUCCCCAGCUGCUGGGCUGUUGUAGGGUUAUGGAACAGUUAGGAUGUAGAGCCAAGCUCGAGGGAGCAGUAACUGGCUUUGGGGUUAUUUUCACCUGACCUGGAUUCACCUGUUCCUAUUUCUUUUCUCUCUGCCUAUCUUUGUCUCUGUCUCUCUCUGCUGGCUGCAUACUAAUUCGGCCAUGCCUAUCUGUCAUAAUGAGCUGUACCCCGCUUUUACCGAAAGCAGCAAAGAAGUGACUAAUGUAAUGUGUCUCCAGACAUGGCAUAGUAAGCAGGUCACAGAAUCAUUUCUGUGGUGUCUCUGCCCAAAAUGUGUCUUGGAUUUAAUGAUGUGGAAACUUCACACUGAUCAGAAUUUGAGGGAGUUUUACAAAACGACUGGCCUGAGAUUCUCAAAGAUGCUGAUGGUAUGAUAGUGGACAAAGACAAAGAACGACUGAGGAUUAAAGUGCCCUCAAACUCACUUAUGUGAGGAGUAGGAGAGGGGGCUGACCCAAGGUGUCCUGGGAAGCAGGCUUAAUGAAGGACUCCUUGAUAGACUGCAGGUCACAGCAGCCCAAAGCCUACAUUCUUUGUUGGAUUAAUCCCUAAUGGCAAUGGAAACCCCAGCUACCCUUCUCAGAGGACAAUCUGAACACAGGCUCAUGGGUUUCUCUGUCUAACAUCCCCACCCCACUAAGAAACAGUGUCUCACUCCUUUCAGAGCCCUGGAUGAAACUGUGUGCUCCUCUGCCUCCAAGUGUGGAAAUAAAACUUUUGCCUCAGUGUCUUUGUUCUGGCUGGUCCCUCUGCCUUGAACAUAUUUCUCCAUAUCUGUGCAUAGCCUCCCCUUCAAUAUUUAUGUUCUAGUAAUGUCAAUUCCAUCCAAA